ensembl:lncRNA
AAUGUUUUAAUAGACCACAUUUGCUGAAAAUAUUCCAUUGGCAAGAAGUUUGGGGAAGGAGAAUGCAGCUCCAUCUUUGAAGGGACCUGCAGUGAGGACCACCUUCAGGUGGCUGUAAAAUUCACAGCAGAAUUGGAAAACAAGCCGUACAUGAGCCUUGUGAGAAGACUGCUCUCUCUGUCUCUAGACUGUCAUCUCCUCUCAGUCACAGUUUGCAGUUUUUACCACUUUUAAUGUAAAUUAAAGAGUACAAAUAGAGUACAAAUAUUUUAAUAGACAAACAGACUGGGCUAAAUCCUUUUUUGAGAAACCACUCCUAUCUAACUUUUCUUCUAUCCUGACCAUCCACACCAGGCCCCAGCUGUCACCACUGGACAAGCAGGACAAUCCCGACCAAUACAUCAUGGUCUUAGAGCAGCCCUUGCCCUCCAUUUUUGGCAGCAUUAUGACAGGCUCUUCAGUGAGGGGAUGACGUGUCAUUUCAUGCGGCAGGUGACUGAUACUGAUGCCAUGUGCUGUUCCAGGGGCAUCUUCCAUCAAAAAACAAAGUAUAAAAAAAGAAUAUGGGUGAUGUACUCUGAUUUCGUGGCUGCCAAGCUUCAGCUAUCCACCUUUUUCUUGCCGUAAAAAUGGGUCUGGCCAUUUGUAAAUUCUAUGGGUCUAGCUUCCAAUCUCAUCCACGUCCAGCUAUUUUUAGUUGUACGAAACAUUUUGUUUUGCUGUCUGAUAUUGAAAAUUGGUGUGUCUUACUAUAUUAUUUUAAUGUAUUAUCUUAAUUAUGUACACAGUGGUUUGUAGUGCAAACAGUUUUACUGUUUACUGCACAUUGUUAUUCUUCUUGUUAUAUAGCGGCUAAUGAACCGGAAGUCUCGCCCAUAGGCUUACUUCCACGUUGAAGAAAAAGGUGGAUAGAAGCACGCAACAUCCGGUAGGUGACGCUUGCUCACUCUCAUUGGCUUUCACAGGUAUCACGUCAGAGGCAGCCCGAUCAAGAGUCAUAAAUAUCAAACAUGCACCAUCUUGAUCAGGACCAUCUUGAUCAGGACCAUCUUGAUCAGGACCAUCUUGAUCA